CCUACGGGUGGCAGCAGUGGGGAAUAUUGCACAAUGGGGGAAACCCUGAUGCAGCGACGCCGCGUGAGUGAAGAAGUAUUUCGGUACGUAAAGCUCUAUCAGCAGGGAAGAAAAUGACGGUACCUGACUAAGAAGCCCCGGCUAACUACGUGCCAGCAGCCGCGGUAAUACGUAGGGGGAAAGCGUUAUCCGGAUUUACUGGGUGUAAAGGGAGCGUCGACGGCAGCGCAAGUCUGGAGUGAACUCCCAUGGCUUAACCAUGUAACUGCUUUGGAAACUGUGCAGCUAGAGUGCAGGAGAGGUAAGCGGAAUUCCUAGUGUAGCGGUGAAAUGCGUAGAUAUUAGGAGGAACACCAGUGGCGAAGGCGGCUUACUGGACUGUAACUGACGUUGAGGCUCGAAAGCGUGGGGAGCAAACAGGAUUAGAUACCCCGGUAGUC
rnacentral:rRNA from 1 species